AGCCCUAAGGAUUUAUUUAGGGUAAUACCUGCCCAAUGAGAAAUUUAAUGGCCGCGGUACUUUGACCGUGCUAAGGUAGCAUAAUCAAUUGACUUUUAAAUGAAGUCUGGAAUGAAAGGGGGAACGGAAUUUAGCUGUCUUAAUUUCUUUAAUUUGAAUUUACUAACUAAGUGAAAAGGCUUAGGUGAGAUAAAAGACGAGAAGACCCUAAGAGUUUUUAAUUUAUUUUUGUUGGGGCGACAUAGGGUCAGUAUAACACCCUAAAUUUAUAUGACGGAUUUAUCAUGUUAAGAUAAACUACCUUAGGGAUAACAGCAUAAUCCUUUUGGGUUUGUGACCUCGAUGUUGGACUAGGAAGCCCUUAGGCUAGCUGCCUAAUGGGGGGAUUCUGUUCGAAUUUUUACUCCU
rnacentral:rRNA from 1 species